rnacentral:rRNA from 1 species
AGUUCGGACUGUGGUCUGCAACCCGACCACACGAAGCUGGAAUCGCUAGUAAUCGCGGAUCAGAAUGCCGCGGUGAAUACGUUCCCGGGUCUUGUACACACCGCCCGUCACACCAUGGGAGUCAGCAACGCCCGAAGUCAGUGACCCAACCUUUAAGGAGGGNGCUGCCGAAGGCGGGGCAGGUGACUGGGGUGAAGUCGUAACAAGGUAGC